UUUUUUUUUUUGUUUUGAAUCACAAACCCUUGUAAUUAUAUAAGUUAUUAGCAUAAAAAAAAGAAAAAGAAAAAGCAAUCAUCGUUUGAAAGGCUUCAUCAAUUAACAAUUGAUACUUGAAAUAUUAUUAGUCAGUGCACAAGUGUUUGGCUAUCUAAAAUUCAUUGAAGUGAAAUGAGUUCAAGCCUUUCUUUUAACUAAAAUUCUUUUUUACUACAUUUAUCUUUCCCUAUCUUAUUUGUAAUUACAGAUAAUAAACAAAUGGGCAGUAUAGUUUACUCGAAGCAUACGGCGCCGCACUAUGUUUCAGAUUAGAUCCGUGUCUCAUCUCUCAUUCCUCCGUCCUCCGUCCUCCGUCUUGGCUGUCUUGUAGCCAUCAGAAUGUGCGUAGCGAACGAGACAAAGUGUGUUCUUUUAACCCCUCAGAAUGUGCACAGCGUAUAAGACAACAGAGAAUGCUAAUCGGAGGAAAGGGUAGGGUUGGUGGAUCCCAUUAGCCCUUCUUUAUGUUCUCAUGGAUCUCUCCUCCGAGGGUGGGGUAGCCGCGCAGGAGUACGUCCUUUUAAUUGGAUCAGUCCCACAGCAACAAUGAAUGCCGCGAUAACAAGCUCUUUGUCCUCGUGUGUACUGCUUUUUUUCUGGACCUGCCAUGGAUUCCUCAUGCUUUCGAAAUGGCGUUCACGCAAAAGGUACGAAUACGAAACAGGACGACGAUAUUUUAGAGGAAGUCCACUCACAACCACCACAUGGAUGCCGUCGGUUCUCCAAAAUAUUAGUACGUAAGGAAAAGGGAAGAGUGAAAAGUGAAGUCUAAAGAGAAGAAAAGAAAAGCCUCCAAAGGAUCACCAUCUAAGUUAGCAAGAUUCCUAUAGAAAAGUGAUGAAACUAUAUUACCAUAUUUAGUAAGUUAGUUCCACGUUGGUCGAGUGUAUGAAGAUCACAUAGUAUUAUGAUCAUAUCAUUCGACAUAUUGCCACAUUUAAUUUUACAUUAAUUCAGUUGAAAAGUCAAAACCUCAUAAAGAUCUGAGGCCAAGCUAGAAUUAUUUCUCACAGACCUCAGAGUACUCUGCAUCGUCGGUCAUUGCAAUGACCGUAGUAUUAUGAUCAGAUCCCUCAUCCUAAUAUCCAUAAAGAAAAUUGAAUCCGAUUGAUUCAAGUUGGGGUUAAAACUUAUUGCUAUUAUACCCAAUUAGACCCACAAGGGGUAGAGUUCUUCACAUGGGCUCAACUUGUGAGCCCAAAUAAAAUCAUAUUAUCGGCCGCCGAGUCAAACUAGUGAUGAGUUCACCAGAAAAAAAGAAUAUAUAUAUACAUAGAGUUGUUGCUUUAAGUAACACAACUAGAUUUGUUUCUUGAAACGAAAAAAGAGAAAAAAACAGUAGGCAAAAGUCUUAGCUUUACUGAAUAGUUUUGACCCGCAACGAAGCAAAUCUCGGAUAAAGCAUGAAAAAGAUGGCAUCAGCUACGCAUUGAUAUAUUAAUUCAUUCUCAUCAAUAUAUCCCCCAAACAAUAUGAACAAAAAUCGAAGAAAGCGGAGUUAAUUGUGGCCAAGCAUGUUUUUUUCUGCAUCAAUAUUCCGCGUAUAUUAUGAUAUUAGCACAGAAUAAAGGAAGAGGCAUCUUACUCCAUCAUGCACAUGGGUUCACUAAACACCGCUCAUCUUUCUAGUUUGCUCAGCAAAGCUUCCAUUGGUGGCAACUCCUUCACAAUCUCUUGCCAAUCCGGCAUGCCCUGGGUAUGAAAAAUACAGUAAGGUGGUAGUAGAAUACUCCAAGAGUAUAACUUGCUCUUUAUACGGGUUUCAAAAAUUUUACUGUGUCAUGUUGUUGUCGAUUCACAGAGAUACGCAUUCGUCUUCCCUAGUUUAGCUAAUUCAGCAGCGAUGAACUACUUUCCAGUCGUCAAAAAGGAUGAACUUUAUGACUGGAUCGAGCAAAAAAUUCCAGUUUUGCUAAAGAAACUAUACCUUCCCUGACUUUCGAACACGUCCAUCUAGACGCAGAAUUAUGAAAACGUCAUCACCAGGAUCAAGGACUCCUUCGGACUUUUGCUGAUCACGUAUCCAUCUGAACAUCACACACAUGAUUAAAGCUAUACUUUGGGCAAAUUUUAAAAGAACCAAGAAAUGGACUACUACAUGUUUUCUUAUACUUUUACUACAAAAACAACAAGAAAAUGCAUCCAGCACAAGACGACUUCAGCUAAUUCUUUCAGGUGGCUCAUUUAUUCAUUAAGCUUAAACAAGAAAUUGAGCAAGAUAUAAAAAAAUAGAAAUGAUGAACAAAUACAAGUGAAAGCUUGUCGGUGGUUGAGAUAAUUUUUUUAACAACUGGUUGAGAUAAGUGAUCAGAUAGCAAAAAAUACCAACUUGUAUGGCCGCUUAAACUUGGAAGUGAGAACUGGGCCCAGUUUUGCCGGUACGGGUAAAAAAAAAAGGAAAUAUUCUCGUAGAUCUAUUGAUUAUUGUGACAGGAUUAAGAAAUACAUAGAGAGAUUUACAAUAUAUAAGAUAAAAGAAAUGAUACAGUUGGCCUUAAUCAAGGGGUACUAACUAAGUACUAACAAAAUCCCAAGUUUGAACAAGUGAAGGGCUAGGUCAAUUUGAGACUGAGAAAGAAUUAUGUUUGUCUAAUUUUGUGAAUUUUAGCUGGUUUUCACCAUUGCUUUAGUUGUAAAUUAUAAUUUUCGUAAUAAUAGCACUUUUGUGUUGGUUUAGCAAGAGCUCAGAUGGUUUGACUUUAUACUGUGAUGAUCCAAAGACAUGAUAGGGGUAAAAUAGCACUGAAAAAUUAUCUUAAAGAGAAUUAUCUGGCUAAAGAUUUAAAUUCUGUACACAUUGCACAGGUGAAAGAUCUCUCGCUUAAUUUCCAACAUUUUUUUCUUCAAAUCUCAUCAAGUUUGUUCUCUAUCUCUCUUAAUUAUCUAUCACAUACAACAGUUGCUGAGUUGAAUGCUGAAAUGCAAAGAAAUAAUCAGAUCGCAUUCCUUUAUCUCCUUCAGCCACUACUGAGCUUACCAAGGAAUAUUCAUAUUGUAUUCAAAUUUAUUAGUGCAAAACUCAUAUACGUUGAGGUCUGCAAAAAGCCAUCAGAGAGGUCUGGACCCAUGAAAAAAUGAUUAUGAGUGUUGAGGAUGUAUUUAUUAUAUGAAUUAAAUCCAAUGCAUCAAGCAAAACAUGUAGGAGGUAGCUAAAUAAUGUUUGGGUUUGAAAAUAUAUAGAUGAGCAAUUUGUAUAUUAGAUAGUUAUGAGAACAUGUGGCUAGGAUCAAGUACAAGUAACUGUCGCUAAAAUUUUGAAAAUUAUAUUUUAAAUAUGUAAACCAACUUGAAAGAAUACAUUAAGAGUCAAUUUCACUUACCUUUCCCAUUCAUAAGGAGAUACUAUCUCAGCCUUGAAGCGCACCUCAGCUUUCAAUCGUGACUUUGCAGUUAUAGAUUGAGUUCGUUGUUCAAAAUCAUCCUACCAAAAUGCAAUUGUAUUUUACGGCAAUAACAUCAAUGAUGCUAGUAUAGCUACACAUAUAUAGUCUGAACAGUAUAAGUUACUAUAUUUAGCAUAUACCCUAAACAUACACAUUUGCAAACAUAUAGAAGGAAAAAAGUUGAGAGAUUAUCAGGAAGACAACACAAAGAACAUGGUACGACAUGAGAAUACCCGAGCAUCUUCUGUUGAUUAAUUUUCAUGGUAUGACAUGAGAAUACCUUAGGUGACUAGUAGAUAGACUCACAUCUACAUUCCUACUACAUCUGUGAUCAAGCUAACAACUAACAAUUUACAUUAGCUAGAUUCUUUACCCAAAUUUGGAAGUAUGAUGACCCGAUGAUCCCAUAAAGAGAGUUGGCCUGUUGGAUCAGCAAGAUGGGGACAUCUUUGGGCAGACUAUCAUCAGAACCCUAAAGGUGAAUUUUGGAUCAGGCCAGAUUCAUUGACAUCAAGCUUUUGACUAGUGAAGACUGAAUGUCCCAGUAGUCCCACAUCACUAUGGACUAGGUUAUUAUAUGUUUAGAGAUAGAUGACUUUAAAACUAACAACUACGACUCAAGGAUUUUGGCUCACAUGGUUCUAAUGCUGUUACAUCAUAGUUAUUAGGUUAGUCUAUCGGGCUAGAACAUGAUGAUUGAUCUUAAAGUAACUUCAGGCUUCUCUGGGUGGGCUGACACAUGACAAGAUGGGGGUUACUUUAUGUAGACUGAAAUGUGAAUUUCUUUGGGUUAGACUCCCAUUAGAAUCUCAGAUGUUUUGGACUCUUGACAAGGAUGUCAAACAUUUAAUUGGGGAAGAUUUUAAGACCACAAUAUUUCCACAUAGACAAUUGAAGUUGAAUAAAAUUAGUACAGUUAGUAGUUGAACUUGAGCAUUUUGGACCACAUGGAUGUAUACCCAUUAUAUUUGAGCUACAAAUUCAAUAAGUCUACUGGGCCAGGAUGUCAAAAUUCCUGUUCUUUGACUCAUAAACUAACAAAAAUGUAGCAACAAUAGCUAAAAUUGAUUUAAACUCAAAAAAGAUUCUGUUAUGGUGUAAUUUCAACCCCAUUUGAACCUAACUCUAGCCGAAGCCAAUGCCAAAGAAUAAAAGAAAGAGGAACAAGUAGAUAGCAAACAAACUCCUAAUUGAAUAACCAAAAAAACCAAAAGAACAAUAAUGGACCAGUUCCCAUGGCCUAUGAUGAGUUCCCAGAGAAAGUAAAUUGGUGCUUUGAUACUUGAAAACUACUUCAGGUGUAAUUGCAUAGGUAUAUAUAAGUGCAGAAGACAUCCCAUAAGAGCAACUCAAAGGUCCAUUUUAUGCAUUUUACUGACCAAGCCACACAUUUUUGCAUUUAAAUAGACAAACAAAUAAAUCUGACCCCAAUUGAAGGAAGAGAUGAAGCAGAUUUUGCAGGAACACCAAAGCCCUUUUUCUCAAUGGAAGCCUUGCUAUAAUCACCCCAGAUAACAGGAAUCAGAAGAACACCUCGCUUAAGCAGUUCAGUUCGGAACCUUUCAGCCUUCUCCAUUGCUCUUGAAACAGUCUCCUUCUUCCCUGCCAAAAUUACCUAAAGUAUUGUUCAUAUAAGACCUCCAAGUUUCUUGUAAAAUUUGUAAGUGCAGAAAAAUUGAAGAAACAAAAAUGGUUUCCAAAACAAUAAAAGCUAACUUCAUCUCAUACAAUGUACAUACAAAAGAAUGGAAUUAGUCUCCUGAACAAAUGGCAUCUAACAUAGCAGAAAAGUGACACUAACCGGCCUAUAAGUGUCCCGAAGCUGCACAAGUUCAACAAUCCGAUUAGUUGAAAGACGCACAGGCAAUCUUGAGAGAGUUUCAUCACGUGAUAUUUGAGCAAGCUGUUCCUCUUCCUUCUUGUUGUCCCAGAUGAACAACACCACAAGAACAACAAUGCCUACAGAGUGCUGAUUCAAAAGCUUGAUCAAUUUAAAGAAGUGAUUUCCAAAUACCAACGAAGUGCACUUUCAAGAAUUGAAGGCGUCAAUUUGAUUAAACAAAAUUGUCUUCAUGGUAUAUAUACUAUAAUCAUUUACCGCCAAUGUUGAUGGCAGCAUUUCCAGCAGUCUCCCAAAGAUCAGGAGCCCCAUCACCACCAUUGAUUGCACGUAUGAGUCUGGGAACUGUAAAAAACAUAGAAAUCCCAGCUGCAGCAGAAAAAGCCACAUAAAAGAAUCUUCUCACGCCACGAAAUGGUGCUUGAACUUCACUAAUGAGUUUGAGAUCUCUUCGAAAUCCAUAUCCUAUGUCUUCACCUCCCAGCCUGGCCUACAAAAGCAUGAGAGGAAAAAAAAAUUGUUUCCAUAGCAUGGAAAAAUAGCCUGAAUCAAAAUAAGAACUUAGAUACACAUGAAAAUGCAAACUGAACAGAUGGACAACCUCUUCUUGCAGUUGUUUAAAUUCUGGUAAAGCUCUGAAUGAGGCUAAGUCAGGAUCAUUCAGAAUAGUGCUGAAUUUGAGAUUGUAAUCUCGCAAAGCAGCUCGCAAACAUUCUGCUGCUUGCUUUCCUUCACCUCUAAAACAAGAACAAAAUUUUAAACAAAAAUCACCUAAGAAAAAGAAAAAAAACCCACAAAGAAAGCAAGAAUAUGGAAAAAAAGAGAUGCAAGGGGAAGAAUGCUAGCAUACAAUAGAUCCUAUUUCUUCCAAAUGAUGACAGGCAUUUUACUACCCAGAAAAAAAAUCAAACAAGGAAACUAAAAUUAUGGAGAAAUAGUAAAUUAGAUGCCUGCAUUGUAUCUCAAAACCAUAAAAGAUUUCUCUAGGCCGUCUAACAUAUCAAAUAAAAUGCUAGACAUUAAUUACAUCAUUUCAAAAUUUCAGGACUUACUAAAACAGAAGAACACAGCUUAAAAUCAUCCAGCAGAAAACUGGACAACAAACACUUAGCAAAAGAAGUUGGUUCUUGGUGCCUGAAUUGCUAAGCACAAAUCAAGCAUCCAGUGUCCUAUUUAUCAACCUCAUUAAUACUGAUUGCAACAGAAUAGAAAAAGCACCAAUAGAGUUAAUUAUCCCUUGUGCACCUCUCACCUAGACAAAUCCAUCAUUUCAUGAACUCACUUUUUUGACAGUCAAAUAUUAAAUAAAACACCAACUUGAUUUCACACUCAAGGACAACUCUAGAUGAAUCUUGAAAGCUACAACCUCCGCCGUCCUCAAUUCCAUAGUUAUUUUGUACAAUUUAUUUUAAAUACCCCACUGAACUAUAACAAUCAAACUGGAACCAGAAGAAGUUUUUAGUUCAGCCUCAUCUUAAUUGGGAUUCUGUAGUCCUGCUAAUUAGCUCCUUUACUAUUAUGAUGAUGUAUAAGGCUGACAUCAUUGUAAUAUACCAAUGUGACAUAUCAAAUGAUACAAAUGAUGGAAUGCAGGAUUUAUAAAAAAGUUCAAAAAGAUUAAAUUAUAGCACUAUUGUUUAACAUUUAAAAAAAAUCUUGUGAGUGCAUUACCAUGUCAUUUUUUCUCUCAAGCAUUAGGUUAUAAUAGGAGAAAGUAACAAAUUUCUUAACUGACAUAUAGUUUAUCCAUUGAAGAGCUUUUGAAAAGACAACAGAUUGACUUCCCAAAUUUCAAGAUUUACCCCUCAAUAGGAUCCCUACUUAUCGCAAAAAAUGAGCAAAUAGUAUUAAUUAAUUACUUGCCCUGAAAAUUUUUCCAACCAUGAGGGCUUAAUCCCUAGAAGAUAAGGAAACUCCAUAUCUACAUGCAGCACCAAAGUCACAAUUAUAUUUGAUUUCCAUGUAUCUAAACAUUCUAGCAGAGGAUAGAGAUUUUUUACUUGUAUGCAUGGCAGCAAGCUUUGUUGUACAGUGCUGCUUGGGCUUCCAUAGGAUUUGGAUUUAAAGAAAGGGCAUUCUCAAACUGCACAAGAGCUUCUUUCACCUAUCACAUUUUCAGUCAUGCACACGGAAAUGUGAGAUAAAGACGUAAGAAUAUGAUGAAAUGAUGAAAAGAAAAGAAGGUAUAACGAACAGUAGACUUUAAGCCAGAUUCCUUAUUACAGCAAUGAUGAAAAGAAAAGAAGGUAAGAUUAUUAUGGAACAAGCACAUAGACACAAUUUGAAAGAAAAGCAUUUGAAUGAAGGAGUAGCACAAUAUAGCAUAUAAAUGUUCCUCCUAGGUAACUUGUCUUGUCCUCUCUUUCCUGACAUAAAUUAAUGCAUCUUGAGACUGUAACAUUUUCAGUAGAAACCCAUCCUCUUCUUUUUAUGUGAUAGAAUUUUGCAAGGACAUUAUUGGCCUCAAAAGACAACCAUAUGGCAUAUGUUUAAGAUCAGUACACAUGGCCCUUGUCAUGAUGUUUUGAUGAAGAGACCAAGCCUCCAGAUGAACUAUGUACAAUCAAAGUAUGGUGUUCAGUUCAAGGAAUUAUGCUGCCACAGAUUUUUCUCUUUUAUUUCUGCCUUUCCAUAAAUAUUUCGGAGCUUUCAGUACACUUUUCAAGUAGCACUGUUUUUGGUCCCCUUCCCUUAUUUUCAUGUUGACAGCUCUUUCCUCGUCGCUUCUCUCUUAACUUCAAAUUGGUCUCCUCCACCAUCCCUUUUCAAGUAUUGAAAUUGUCUACAACUCGAUGCAACUGUUUUUAGGAUUUUCUGGUUUUCGAUCAUUUUUCAUUCCAAACGAAAGAAGUCUUUUCUUCCUCUGUUGAUCACACAAUACGAUUAAUCCCUUCAACAUAGUUAGCCUAUUUCAGCAACAUGAUUGUCGUAUUGGUUCAUCAUUUCCGUACCCUCAGCAACAAACACAAUCUCCUUGCUAAAUAGAUGGCAAUCUUUGGGUUGCUAGAAACAGUAUCUGAAAACUUCGUGUUUUUGUUUGCUUUAUGUUGCAAACUCAUGUAAUAGAUCUCUUUGCAACAGUCACACGAUCGUACUAAUCCAUUGUGCACACUAUGGUCCAUCAUGAAUUUGACAAGGAAACAACAGGAAUCUUUAACAGUGUACCAGGACUAACCAGUACCAUACAUGAUGGAUCAAUUCAGUUGCCUGCUGUAUACAGUGCGCCAUGAAAUGAGUCUAAUUAGUACUAGUAAGUGACAUGCAUCAAUAGGAAGGUCACUCAUUUGCAUUAGAGGGAAGGUGAAGAACUGACAGGUCGACAGACUGAGUUCUUGAAACCAAAAGAAAGAUUCAGAUGCAUCGUUGCAAAUAUCAUCCUUUUGUGAUUUCUUGACACUAAGACAAAGAUUUAGGAAAGCAAGAUCCCCAGUUGCUACUUUUAUAACACAAGAAGCGCCGAGGGAUUUGGCAAUGAGAGACGCACCCGUCCCUUGGAGAAGAAAGAAAGGCCGAGAUUGACACACGACUCCGCCGUCUGCGUCGCAGUCUCCGGAGAGGGAGGAGACGGGGGGGAGGAGGAGGAGGAGGAGGAAGAGGCGACGGGGAGGAGACGAGCCCGUCGGGAUCUGAGAGGGGUUUUGGGCGCAGACCAGGUGUUGGACUUCGGGCAGCAGAGGAGGUGCUGUUGGAGAGCGAGAGACGCCAUGGCCAUCGCAGCCACGAAAGAGGGAGAAGUAACGCGGAGGAAAAGGCGACGGCACCGCGCUCACAUUUUUCGCUUCCGUUAUCCGCACGAAUGUCACGGAAGCAGCACAUCGCGACCACCAUUUCUUUAGUCGGGUCGGGUCCGAUCCAUUCCGUUCCCGUGGAUCUAUACAUACAAGGCCCACGGAGAAUCUGGAUCCGGGUCUAUCUUGUUAAAGCCCGAACCCGGACCCAAGUUACCAAACUAUAAUAAAAGGAUAUAAUAAUAAUAAUAAUAAUAAUAAUAAUAAUAAUAAUAAUAAUAAUAAUAAUAAUAAUAAUAAUAAUAAUAAUAAUAAUAAUAGUAGUAGUAGUAGUAGUAAUUUACCUAACAAAACAAGGCCCAUGGAGAAUCUGGAUCCGGGUCUAUUUUACCAGCACCUAUUUUAUUUAACAUACCAAAAAUAAUCUCAAAAUCGGAUUAACCCUUUUUAUUAAAUCGAACAACUUGAUUUAAACCCGAUUGAUCCAAGGGUUAGUUUGGUUCAGUAUGAUUGUAGUCCGGGUCAAAUGGAUUUGGGUCAGAUCUUAUGAAGUUGAUCAAGUUAAGUGUGAAUCAAAAGGUAAAGAGUUUACACAAGGGUUAAACCGAAUUAGUAUAACCCUACUGUAAUCGGCAAUGACCAAUGCUCCUCUCUCUCUUCUGCUCCUCUAUGAUUACGGCAUUUCUCUCUCUUUGGUAACGAUAAACUUCUCUACUCUCUAGUGAUGAAGGACGAUAGUAAAGUUCUAUGCUUUUCUUAGACAUUUUAUGAAUGGUAGCGACAUUCUCCUAUCUUUAGUGGUGCCAAACUCUUCUGCUCCUCUACGAUGUUUGUGCAUCUCCUCUCCAACUAUAAAUGAUAGUAUCUUUAUCAGUAGCCAUAUCCUCUCUCUAGAGGUAAACUUAUCUCUUUUUUUUUUAAAUAGUAAUAUUCUUUGAAAUUAAUUUUUUUAUUAAUCUAUUAAGUAUGUGCACUAAUCCUAUUAACAUUGUGAGAGUCUUAAAGAGGUUUUUAUGUUUAUAUGAUAAAAACGAUUGAUUGUUCACUAAUUAUUGAUAUUUAUAUUUUUGAUGCAACUUAAGGGUUUUGUUAGUUUUUGGUGAAACAAGGAGAGAUUGAUGUUGUAAAACUAAAAGGUCUUUGUUGGUGAACUUUUUAUUGUUAAGAUGUCAAAAUCUUGGGUCUGAAUCAAUAAGUUUAGGUGAAGCAUUCAAGAGAAACAUGGUUAUAUUUGCAACACCUUCUAGGAUUAUUAUUGAUAUUUUUAAUGUUCAUGGUGAGUUUUGAGUUGAUUAAUUCAUGUUUUUUUAAUUACAAACAAGUGUGAAAUUGUAAAUAUAGUUUUCUCUUAGAAGAAGUAAUAUUUUUCAAACCUUGUUUUAGUGUUUAUAUAAUUAUUUUAGAGGGUUUCUAAUUCUUAUCUUAAUUGAUGAAAUUGGGUAAACACCCACUUUUUUUUUGCUAGGUGAAAAUAAUUUAUAAAUAUUAAAUAUUUAUACAAAUUAUUUUCUUUGAUUUUUUUUAUAUUUGCUUAAACUUUAAAUAUAUAUCUCAUAUUUAUAAUAUUUAAUUUUAUAUAUAAAUGGAAUGAUGUCACUACGUAGAUUCCUUCUACUUAGGGAUAAGGAGCAUUUCAUGUGGCUACUACAAGUAAUAUAUAUCAUAAUUUUAUAAUUUAUAUUAAAUAUUAUUAAAUUAUAUAUGAUUAAUGUUAUUUUUAAAUGUAAAGUAUAAGAUGUUUGAAAACUAAUUCCUCCAUCUUCACCCCCUUUGGCCAUCAUAUGCUACCUCAACUAUCACAUUAUCCCCUCUAUAAUAUAUAAUUAAUAAUCAUUAUUACAUAUCAUUUUAGUUAAUGAUCUUUGUUAUAUCAUUCAUUUUAGGUAUUUUGUCUAGGAACCGAGUGGUAAGAGUUAAGGUCGCAUGAUGUUGAGAAAUAUAAGGCGACAUCAAUGUUUCUUAUCGUUAUGCGUAAAAACCUACGAAAUAAAAAAACUAUGUGUAAGAGAAUUACCUAGAGAAAUCAUAUAUAUAUUCAUGAAUUCCUACAGAUCUAUGAGAUUAGAUGAAGGAGUUCAAAUGCCCUCCUCUCUAAUAAUGAUCCAUAUAGCAGGGGCUGCGACGAUGCUCCUAAAAUCACUACUCAAAUCUUCUCAAUGUGCGCACCAUGCACUUAAGUAAGAAGGACUCAAGUAAGGUCAGCCUUUCUUGUUGUCCACACGUCCCAAACUGGGGCUGCUAGCUAAGGAGAGGAAGAAUAGGAGGUGGUAGCUAAAAAACCUUGCUUAUGACCCUUUGGUUCUCUCCUAUUUAUAGAGGUCCUUUGUCAACUUAACCCUAAUGGAUCUUGCUCUAUUAGGUAUUAACUGUAGAUGUACUAGGCUACUACACCAUAGUCCCCAAACGAUAUAGGGGAAUCUAAUUCUUUGGACCUAUCUAUUCUCAAUUAUCAUGUAUCUAUAGUCCCUCAUCCAUAUAAUAUUUCAGAGACCAUAUAUCAGACAUAAUGCUGUCAGGCUCAUACGAUUUCUCCUUGAGUCUUGGUCUAAUCGGAUUCUCUUGGAGAACUCUUUCUCUCUCAAUCUAAAUGACCUUGGCCAAGGAUUUCUCUAAGCAAGAACAUAUGAGAUAUUCCUCUCAUGAUAUCGAGAGUGGAUGAUCCUCUAUCGACACUUAAUAACCAUCAUAAGGUUAGCUACCACUUCUUAUGAUCGGUUGUGCUAGAUCUGAAACUUUUAAACCUAUAAGUUUGGUAUCAAAGAGUGGAGUACUCAUACAGGACAUACUUGAUGUCUCAAGUCUAAGGACCAAGUACACCAUUGGGAUGACAAAAUCACUGUUUGAUAAUAAGGUAUCAUCAACCAUCUAACAUUUCGUGAGCGGAUUAAUCAGUGAACUCAUUCUCCAAUGAGCACCUGCACUAUAGCCUUAGUGUCCCCACACGAGCAACUAUGAGACCAGUUGCUUCCAUCAUAUGAACGAGUAUACAACACACCAGCAUAUCCGGUUAUCUCAAUAUUUCUCUCGAGUAACCUAUGAUCAGAAUUAUUUAAGGUCUGUGUUUAAAGGUGAAUCAAUUUCAUUAUCGUGAUCUCAUUACGAUCCGAUUCUCAUUGCACAGAUUUAUGGACAUCACAAUAUAUUUAUGGAUCAAGCAAUAUAAAUUGAGAAAAUAUCAUAAUAAUAAUAAGCAAAAAGACUGUAUGUCAUGUCACACAUAUCAUCACUCACAUGAUUGACUUACAGGGCACCUAUGACAAGCACAUGAUAUCUAUUUCUCCUAUGUUAUAUCAUCUUCAUAUUCUUAGGAUGAUACCUUUUUGUUAUAUAGCAAAUAUUCCUAACAUUCUUACAUAUUAUUAUUUUUAUAUAUUAUUUUACAACAUUAAGAGAGAGAUUCAAUUUUAAUUUUGGCAGUGUUUUAGUUGAAUUUAGCUUGAGUAAUAUUUCUAUAGUUUUGAAGGUUUCUAAUCGUAAACAAGUCAUAGAUGUUAAAGCAAAGUUCGGGUAUAUGUAUGAGAAAUACUUUAAUGAUCAAUUUUAUAGGAGACAAAAUAUUAUUGACUUAAGGUUGUAGUUGAUAAUUUUAGAAUAAGGUAAUUAUUGAUUUAAGAGUUCAUUUAGAGAUAUGGAUAUGCUUUCUAUAAUUGUUAUUGUUAUAUAUGCAUGUUAUAGAUGUUGAAUCUCGUAUUUUGAUGAUGAAAUCAAUUGAUAAUUAUGUUUAUGUUUUAAUCUGCGUUUUGAGUGAUGCAGGAUGCUUCGAUUAGGAUAAGACAAUUAAAGCAGGAAAAAUCAUGUUGGGCCGGAGGAACAUAUUAGAAGAUUGGAUGUCGGGCCAGUGGAUCGGUCGACAUAUCGACAGAAGACUUCGGGCCAUGGAUUCGGGCAUCGGGCCAAGAAGAGCGGACAUUGCGCCAAGGAUAUCGGAGCUGUGGAGUUAACUGGUCGAUUGGACAAUAGACCACAAGAGAGGACGAUGUGCCGAAGAAUCAGACGAAGCGUUGAGGGACCAAUGACAUACCGGACAACUUGAUUAAUGCUUAGUAUUAAUUUUCUAAAUCGAAGUUUGUUUUACAUGUGGAGAAUUAACUACGAUGGAAGUAAGAUAUGCAGCAGGAGUUACGCUAGAGUCAAGACCAUGAUCAUGUUGGGGGUUCGAGAGUUCGACGGAAGUCCGGACGGUCGUCGGAGGUUCUGUAGGAACAAAUCCGAGAAGUCUAGGAGCUUGCCAAAGAGGAUCGUCGGAACUCGCCAAGUAGAUUGUCGCAAGUCCAGGAGUUUGCCGGAAGUUCGUCGGAGCAUCGCAGAGGGUUCAUCGGAUGUUCGCCGGAAGUUCGUCGGAAGAAGCGAUUGACGCACCGGAGCAAGUUGUAGUAUUAAUGUCUUAAAUAUCAUAGUUAGCAUGUAGAUUAAGUUAGGAAUGAUCAGUGAUCCCAUUAACUUAAUCUGAGAGCAAUUGGGCCCUUGACAGACCCAAAUUGGGCCGAAUGAAUCAGCCCAUUCAGACCCAGAAUUCCUGCCAGGCGGUGACACCGCUAGGGCCGGCUGUGGCACCGCCCAAGAGUCUUGGUCUCCCAGGAAUUUUGGGUGAUAGUACCACCCAAUUAUGAUGGUAGUACUGCUAGGACCUCGAAAAACUAGGAGAUUCACUUUUCAACUCCAAAUUCAAGCCAGUUGGGGCCUAUAUAAACCCCACCCUUUCCUGCAUGAAAGAAAAAUCGAAAGCUUGAUCUUACUCUAUGAUUUUAGAGCUCAAAAGUAUUGUAAAGGCCAAAAGUUCUCCUCCCUCUUUUCUUCCAAGUUUUGAUCAUUCAAGAGAGGAGUGAAAAUUCUGUAAGGGUUGUCUCUUAAGCCCGUCAAAAGGAGUGAAACUGUAAAAGGGUGGUUGGCCUUUGCCUAUUGAAGGAAGGCAUCUAGUAGACGCCGGUGAUCUCGUCGGAGGAGGAAGCCGAAAGUGGAUGUAGGUCACGUUUGACCGAAUCACUCUAAAAUCUAGUUUGCAUUUCCUUUGUGCUAUUUAUCUUAACUGUAAACUGUCUUUCUUACUUUACUUCAAAUAUGUUUUCAUAAGCUUUCAAAGUUAUUAUUUGCACGAAAGGACUUUUACAUCGGAAUCAGAUUUCAACGUACGAACGCAUUUUUAAUCAUCGAAAGUUUUCUACUGUACUAAUUCACCCCCCCUCUUAGUGCUUUUGAUCCUAACAAUAGAGGUAUGUCAAGCACUCAUCCCGAUAGUUACUGAGUCUCAUCUACUGAGAAUACCAAGGUAUAAUAAUUUAGUAUUUUAUAUUUAUAUUUAAAAUAUAUUAUUUAUUUAAAAUAUUAAACUAUUUAUAUGACAAAUAUGCUGGUGAGAAUUGUGUCGAGUGUAAAAAGAAAAAAAUAAAAUUAAGAUUAUGGACUUGAUCAUCUUGUGACCCCAGGAAGAAUUGUUCAUUUGGAUCCAUUAAUAAUCAAUUAGCUUCCAUAGUGUGUUAAGGAUUAUCAAGGUCUACUCCAUUGAUUCCAAUAUCUUUAGUACCAUUUUUUCUUUUUUUUUCUUUUUUUUAGGAUGAUUAAUUAUCCAAAUAGGGACUUAUGUUUUAAAUUUAUGAUCAAAUAUAGCUCGAAUACAACGUAAGUGUAACUUAAGAAAUUUUUACCAACUUAUUCAAACUUCUAUAUAACUAUCAUUAAAUGAUUCUAAUAUGUUUAGCAUCACUUUUCUUAAAUUUUUUUUAAUUUUUAGAUGAUUUUAGUAAUUACAAUGUUAAAAAAGAGAAUUAUAGUUCUAGGAGAUACUACCGCUUGGUUUAGGAUGAUACCAUUACUUAUGGUCAGUAGAUAGUGGAUAUAGACCAUACUAUCGUUUACUUAGUGGUACCAUUACCAUUAAGCAAUAUUAUAUUAUGAUUGAGUAUAAAGUAAGUAUAAUUUCAAGUUAAAUUUAACUAAACUAAUCGAAACUUAUCUACAACUACUAUGACAUGAUUGUAAGAUGAUUAAAUUAUUUUUUAUAAUUUUAGUUGAUCUUAGUGUAUUUAAUAAAAUUUAGCAUAUGGUGAUUAGAAUGUUAGAUUAUAAUCAUAUCCAAUUCAUAACUCAAGUGUAACUCAAAUAAAAAAGAUUGUAACUAAAUUAAAAUCCACUAUGAAAAUUAUAAAAAUGAUAACAUCAAUUCAACUAAAACAAAAAUACAAUAAGGAUCAUAACAUCAAUUAUAAAAUGAUAACUUCAAAUUUAAAAUUAGCAAAAUUUUAUAUUAUUUCAUAAUGUUACAACAUAGUUGGCAAAAAACUAUAUAGAUAUACUAUAGGCAAAAAAUAUCACCUUAUAUUAUAGCUAAUGUAAAUAAAAAAAAACCAAAAUUAUACUAUACCUUAUCUUUGUGUUUCGAUUCUAUCAAUAUCUUCUUACUUCUAACCUAAUAAUACCAAAUUAGAAAGAUAUAUAUAAUAUAUUUUUAUUAUUACAAUAAAAAGUUAAGGUCCAUUUUAGCUCCUAUGAUUUUGACCAUGGAUCACUUAAACCCUUACGAUUUACUCGUGUCUAAAAUAAACCUUAUAUUUUCAAAAAUAUAAUAUAUAAGCCCUCCCUCCCCCGUCAAGUUUAAGUUAAUAAAAGUUAGAGUAUACUUACGUGGUUUGUUGACUCAUAGUAAACCAUUAAUAUAAUAACAUAUAUAAUUUUAGUUUAAAAAAGAGUUAAGAUCCAUUUUAAACUCUGUGAUUUUAGCCAUGGACCACUUAAGCCCUUAUAAUUUAUUCGUAUAUAAAAUAACUCUUAUAUUUUAAAAAAUAUAAUAGAUAAGUCCCUUUCGUCAAGUUUGAGUUAACAAACGUUAAAAUUUGCUUAUGUGGUAUAUUGACUCAUAAUACAUCAUUAAUAUAAUGAUACAUGUAAUUUAAGUUAAAAAAAUUAAGACCACCAUCAAUGAUGGGAGAAGGUGCCGUUGUAGAAGCGACCACCAAUAGUAGCACUGAGCCACUACUGUUUAGCAGGGCAUCAUAUGCACGUAGCCUUUCCUACGCUGACGAUGAGUUCAGGAGCUUCCAGUCCUGCCUUAGGUGGAUAUGCAUCGACUAGUCCAAUGCUAAGCAUGCAAUAGUCUCGUGACCCCUCUUCCUCCUCUUCAACAUUUUCAUCCGUACCACCUCCCACUUCAUCCUCUCAUAUACCCCCACUUGGCUUCUCCUAUCUCCUCUCCGUUUUCGUCCGCCGCUUCCUUUUCCUCGACAAGAUGGACUUUAACGGGAGAGGCUUACAUGCUACGUUUUUGAAAAUGUAGGGAUUAUUUUAUAAAUGAGUAAACUAUAAGAGCUUAUGUAGUCUAUGGCCAAAACCACAAGGGUUAAAAUGGACCUUAAUCCUAUAAUGAAUGAUUCGACAAUACACCGAAUGAUGGGUUGAUGCAAUUAGCGCUUCAAUGACACAACGAAGAAUGAUGUUAUAGCUUCAUCGACACUGCAAAUAUUUGACCAAUAUAAUAGUCGGUCAUAUACUGAUUCCAAAAGGGUACAUAAAGCUAAGUGAGGUUAUGGCAACAAACCAUUAAUCACCAAGACUCUAUAAGGCUUCGUCAACAAUGAAUAAUGACUAGCUCUAUUGGUUUGCUGAUCACUUAGGCUCAACAAUCGACCAGACAUCCUAUUGGUGGGAAGGCAAUGGUAACCUCUUACCUCGGCAAUCAUUGACACUCACUCAGAUGGUGACGACAACCUCCUGCCCCAUCGACGAAGACCAUCCGGACCAUCGAGACGACAAGCACAUAAUUUGUAAGGUCAAAUAUAUAGUUUAUAAAUUAAAAAAAAAAGAGAAACACCUAAAUCCUUGAAAAAUAUGCAUACUUUCAUCUAUUGUCACAUAAAAUAAUACAUAUUUUUAUAUGACUAAAUCUUAUAUUUUUAAAUUUUAUUCUACUAAUUUGGUAAGAUAUUAUAUAUUUUUUAGUUCUUGAUUUUUAUCAUGCUGUCCAGUAUAUUAUCUCACCCUAUUGUAAAAAAUUAGCUCAUUUGAUACGAAGUAGCCUUAAGUGUUUAACAAAUGGUAUCAUCUAUAACAUUUAUAGAUAAUAUCCACAGGGUUUCUCUUGAUGGUUUUAGGAUUCCAAAGGAGCCCAUGACAUCCUCCCCUCCCUAUAACACCAUUUCUCAUUUCUCCGCCCAACGUAUGCUGUUCUUGGAAUGACACCACGUAAAGUGUCCUUUAAAGUGCUCCCCAACUGUUCAUGGAGAGGCGUUCCGAGAAGAUGCAGACUAAACAAACUUGGCCGUGCAUGGCGGACGCGACAUCGAGACGUAAACACCGGGGCUGUCCACAAAAGCACACUCGCAUGGCCCCAUGCGAUGGUGUGGGAAAGCCAAGAGAUGUGUGGCGAACGCCACUGGAACCGUCCUCCAUGGUCAAGAAACACUGCAUGGCCUUAGUUACUGUGACGGAGUGGUUGAGGUCAAUGGAUUCCCCAGUUCUUCUUGCUGGCGAUCCCAAUCCCCUUCCCUGCUCUACAACAGUUCAGGUGACUGGGCAACCCAAGAUGAUCAUGGUGCAUUAAAUCUCCAUCUACUCUUCAUCUUUCCUCAGAAUGCCAUAACUAUUCAUCUCAGACACAGAAACAGAACAUGAAGAAGACCUGCACUUCAUGAACCUUUCAUGCUCGUCUGAUGCACCGACACCUGCUGCUUCUCCUUGUAUUUAUGAUAAGUUUCAGGGCGUGUAAGAUGCAACUUUGUAUCUACUCACUGAAAGAAAGAUAAUACUGAGCUACUUCAGGCUUCAAUCAAAGAUGAGUCAACAUAGUCAACACGAGACCUUUGAUGUUUGUCUUAAUUGCUCAAAGAAUAUAUCUGACUUACUACAUACAAAUGCAUCGACCUGCGUGACAUCCUUUCAUGCACACAAGCUGAGGCCCCCAUGGCGAUGUAAGGACAGUGGGAGAGGACACUGGAAGUUCUUUUCAUAAUGGAAGGCCAGGAACAAUACAUAAACAACAGGCAGAGAAGUUAGAGAAGACUGUGUUGCCUGUGUGCAGCUUGUGGACUCACAUGUGUAUCAAAGGAAACAUCAGCUUGGUGAGUGUUGAUUGCUGCUGCCAUGAACUGAAUCAACAUCCCAUCCCCUAAAACAAAUGCAAAGAAACUCAAUAGCAGUUCUCUUCCACCAUUCACACAAUGUAGAACACAGAACAAAGUCCAAAAGGCUCAGUUCAACUAAGUUGCACUUGCUAAAGUAGUAUAAGCUUAGCACUCACACUCCUCACAAUACCAUAAGUAGUCUUAGAGGAAACUACUUGGAGUUCUACUACGGCGCAGUGGAGGUGGGGAUCGUGUCCGUCACAUGAUACUGCAGGCACCGCUGUUCUCGUCGCUGCAGGUGUAGCACGAACAUGGCGAUGCGGUCGAGUAGAUGUAGCUGCUCUGCAGCAUUGGCAGCGCCGUGUAGUACGCUCCGCCGUGGCUCAUGCUCGGCUGCAUCGAGUUGUAGCUUACCAAGUAUGAUGGCAGCUGAGAUGUGGUGUACACCGGAAAAUUGAACGUUGGUGGGAUUGCAACACCGCCGCUUGCUCCUGCUUUCUUGCUGGCUUCCUGUGGAGCUACUUCGACCUCAGUCGCACUGCCGCCGCCGCCACCACUUGCGCUUCCGCUUUUGUUGUCGUUGUUGCUGUUGCUGUUUUCCUUCUGACCCUUCUUCCCCUUCUUCUUACCACCACCUUCAGUGGCGGCAGACUUGUUGCCCUCAUCCUCUUUCUCAGGUGGCGGAGGAGGCUCCUUGCUGCCAUUCUUGGAGGCUUCACUCUCUGGUUUAUCGGAAACUUGGGUGGAGUCAUCUUUGCCAUUAGACACUUGACUGUUAUCAAUGUUCUUUGAUGGCUCCAUGGGCUUGUUGUUCUUGCUCUUCUUGUUGUUGCUGCCGGCGUUACUGCCGCCACCGCCACCGGUUUCCAUGGGCUUCGUCUCGGGCCAGAGUUCAGCAUGUUUCCCAGCCUUGAGGAGCUUCUUGAUGAGGAUCUCAGCAGCGACGUUGCCGGUGACCACCACUUUGUGCUGCUGGGGGUCGACAGUCGUCUUGUAAACCCCUGAAGAACCUCAGGAAGAUACAUAAGUGGCUUUUGAUGAGGCAAGCGAGGGAAACAAGGGAGAGAACAAAGAGAUGGAGUACUCCAAUGUUACCUUCCAUGCUUUGUAGGACCUUCUUUACUUUCUUCUUGCAUCCUUCACAGUGGAUGGAGACCUUCAGAAUCAAAGUCUGGAGCAUCACCAAAAUCCAAAACUUUGCCUUCACUCCACACACACACACACACACACACACACAACCUUCACAGAAAGAGAGAAAAGCAGGGGACUGGGAAUAGAAAUGUACCUGAUAUUUCAGUGUUUCAGAACACUCUUUAGCUUCUGCCAUGAGUAAAAGUGGAGUUCCGAAGAAGGGUAUCAAGGAAAGCAGAGAUGGAAAAGGGAGGAGGGGAGCGCGAGAGUGAGCGUUGCUGCUGUGGAGGUGGUGAUCCUGGCUUCUAUCAUAGAGCUGCCCCCCAUGAUAAGUGGGUGCCAACAGCAGUGGACAGGAGAUGGUAGGCUUGUAACUAUUAAUCACUCGUAUCAUCUUCAGAUGAUGACAAUUACACCCCUGUAAAUAAGUGGAUGCUAGUCUGGGAUUUGAACCUGGGGGAGACACUGAUUCCUUUGAUCAAACUGGCUCAUGAACAGUGCCUCUCAUGUUCCGGUAGCCCUCAGAAGUUCCCAUAUUGUACCCAUUUGAUCUGUGACAAGGACCGAUGGUAUUCGGUGGCUGCAGGUUUCAUGAUAGUGACUUAAAUUUUGAUCAACCAUCUUCCAUCGUAUGCAACUGCAGUGGUUUGUAAAGGACAUGAUGAUGCUGUCACUCUCACUUCCUCUUCCCUGACAGCAUCCUCAGGAGGUGAGGAAGAUGAAAAAGGCCGUCUUAGGUUGGGAUUGAGCCUGUGACAAGGAAUUAGAAGAGGUUUAGGAGAGCUACAAGAGGCCACUAAAAGGAUAUAUUAACGAGGAAGAGACACCUUCAUGCUGUCUAAUGAUUUGUAUUAUAAAUAUUUUGUGCUCUGAAAAAUAUAAUGCCACCUGAAUUUAGAGUCAAUAUAAGCUUUACUUUUUGAAAAAAUAUAUAUAUAUUAUAAUUUGAUGAUUAACAGAGUAAUAUUAUCUUCUUUUUGGAAACAUAGUGUGCAAAUAAGAGAGAAAAUAACAGAGUUUUGUCUCUUAUGUAUAAAUAAAUAAUGUUUUAAGUCAGAGAUUAUACUGAAAAAUCAAGAAGAAAAAGGGUAACAGACGCACACCAUUAAUGACUUCCUUCUCACCAUUAUUGCAUAACUCCAUUCAUCCUCGCUUGCCUGCCAGAAAUUAAAGGAUCUGAGACUGUAGUUUUCAUACAUUGAAUCGCUCAAGGACGUGGUUGGUUGGUCGACAAUAAAUACUCACAUUUUAAUCUUGGAUCGAAAAGGACCCAUGACAAUUCAUGAUGCCCCAUUAUCACAUGCACCAUUAUGACCAACUAUUGAUGAUAAGUCUGUACUUUUGAUAAGUCUGUACUUUUGGCAUCAGUAAGGGAACCAUUUACAACAUAAGUCAUGUGAUUGUUGGAGCCAAGAAGAAGAUGCUGCACAAAGUUGUCCUACUGAUAUUGAGCAAUAAUGAUAGUUCAGGACACCGAGAUUUUAUCGAUAUGGGGUAUACGAAGGAUCAAUGUACGUAGUCUUCACUCUACUCUCCGAGCGCGAAAAGAUUAUUGUUCAUGGUCGAUGUCCUUAUCAUUCGGGUCGCAGAAAAGUAGCCUUAAAUGAGUUGGAACUUUGCAUUCGCUCUCUCUUCUCACUUAUGAGCUUAAUUCAUGGAGUCAUCCUGCUAUAGUUGUUACACUGGAAUACUUUAUGGAUUCCUCAUAGCCAUAUAUUAUUGUAUAGUGAUCAUCUUUGCUCGUUUUCUGAUCACAAAAAGGAAUUGUCUGUGUUGAUGCUAAUCCUAAAGUUGGUGAAACGGUGGUAAAUGUGAGAUUCAAAGUUUGUCAAGCAAGAAGGAACUCAAAAUAAAAGAAUAGAAGAUGAUGUCGCAUACAAAAAUUUGCUAUAGAGCUUGCUGAGUUCAAUGAACAAAACACUCGUCUUUUCUUCCUCAGACAAAUCUCAGCUCUCACCUUCUAAGUAAUGUUUGUAUCUGGUGGUAUUAGUGCUUGAAUCUUCUGAAUGGCACCAUAAAGAUAGCCACCAAAGCAUACAUUCACAACAAAAUAGAUUAGAAGAUUCAUGAUAUGUCAACCCCCUCAAUAAUUCUUAGAGUUCUUUGGCAGAGAUCAAGGGAAAUGCUUGGUUGCUUGUAGAACUGCUUCUUUAGGCACUAAUUGGUGAGCCAUUUGCGACGUUCAUCCUUAUUUAAUUUCUUAGAUGCUCAAACUAAGUUGCAGUAGCAGUGACUCUGGUUGUAACUACAGAAGAACCAGAAAUAACAAGGAAGCUUCAACAACUGACCUCAAUUUGUUUUAGAUAACCUACUGUCUACUGUUAAUCCCACUGUGGAUCGCCUUGCAGGAUGAUGACUCUUCUCUGAAGUUAAAGAGUGUUAUGUGUACCUUCAUUUCUUGCACAAAAGGUAUUUGGGCAUUCAUCAGCUGCUGCUACUGCAGUGGCAAUCAGCUUUUGAGCAUGCAACCAAACUCCUGGGUUGGCCUUUUGGUUCAGAAUACAAUUGGCUUGAUCUGGUGAAACUGUCACAGAUGGGGUAAUGAGUCCAAACUAAUCAAUCUACUUUUAUGAUCAGCCUGCCACAAUGCGUCUGUUCAAUCUUUACAAGGGACCUGGAAAGAGUUAUAUUAAGUGUAACUUUGUGAUGUAAUCAGUGACCAAAUACUAUUCAGUUUUAAGAGCAUUCUGUACAUGAUGCUUAGGAGGAAAUAGAUGACUGUAGAUUUUACUUAGGUUUCAUGUGCAGAUACUUGCUCAUCUCAUCCUUUUCAUCUGUAUCUCUGGCAGCUUUCAGUACUCUUUUGGUCUCAUGCACUUGUCCUAUAAUAUAUGGAGCCAAAUGCAGCAACUUUUCAUGAGCAAACAAUAGAAACUUGACAAGCCAAAUGGUGGAGAUUACACAGCAGUUAGUCAUGGUAAAAUUACAUGUAGUUUGGCACUUGAGGUUGCAAGUGGAUGCAGGUUUGUAGAGAUUGAAGCACUCUUGGAAACUCCGAGUGGAGCUCUUCCUCAGCUUUCUUAUCUUUUGCUGAUACCUAAAAGCUAAGCUUUGACACUAACUUGCACUUUCCAGCCAUAUCAGCUUUGAACUCAUUUCAAUGCUGCUGCAGCCUCACAUAAACUGAUAUCUCAGUAUUUUUCUUCACCUGUUUAUCAUCAGCUCCUCUUCUCCAAUUCUCAUUCUAGUCUUACAGAUAUUUAUAUGAUUCGACAUCCCUUAUCUGAGUUAAUAUAAUUAAUAAAAAAAUAUUUUUAAUUGCAUAAGAAUAAUUAUAAUAAAGAAAAAUAAAAUUUAUUAAUCAAAACCUAAGCCCAAAGCAUUUUAUUCCAUCUCUCCUAAAUCUGAAAAUUUUUCUUGCUAUCUAAACACCAAAAAUAUUUUUAUUUUUAUUUUUUACACAUCAUAGUCUUAAAAUACAUGUGAUUAUAGAGCAAUCAGUCACCAAUCUUAUUGAAAAAUCAAACUGAUCCAUCAAAAUUUCUGCAAGUAUAAUUAUUAUUAAUUUUCUCUUUUCAAUUACAUGUCAAUCUCAACACUUUGACACCAUCAAUCAGUCUUCAGACUUCGGACAAAAUGCCUUACAUGCCUUGUUCACUGAAUUUAUUCUGACAAGAAAGAUUGCAGGAACAGCUGAUUAGAUCUGCAACUUCAAUGCCCAAAUGCAGUGCAGGUUGUCAGUAAUGAAUGACUCUCUAGCUGGGCAGAUUAUUGUCCAUGAACUGUGAUCAAUGAGCUGCUAAGUUGCCAGUGCAAGAUUUUUUUUUUUUUUUAAUUUUAUUUUAAUGUGUUGCAAGUUCUAAUGGUGGGUAAUAGUUAGCUGAUUUGAGAGCAGAUUAUUCCCUGAAGAUAACUCCUACUGCCCCUUCCAUGAGCUUUAUGGGAUUAGAUAGAAUGAACAGAUGUUGUACUGCCUUCUGGUUUUUGUUGUGAUGUCUUGUGUUCCUUUUGAAUAAAAAAAGAAAGGAACACAGAGAUGAAUGGAAAAAAGAACAAAUAUCAAUUUCUGAAUUUUCUUCUCUUUCCGCACCUGAAUAAUCUCAUUACAGCUAACCCAAACAAAGAUUUAAGAUCAUCCAUAUGAAAGAUGACAGGCAUUAUUAAGCUAAGUAUUUUUAUUUACUUACAAGAUUUCAUGUAGGAAAUGUAGCGACAGAAUAACCAAGUCUUACACCACUUUUUCUUUGGCUGGAUGCCAAGUUUAUUUUAGGUGAGCUUAUCAAGUUCUUCAUGAAGCUCUCAGAACAUACAUAUUUUCUGCUUUUAAUUUAGUAAUUGUUCCAGAAAUGGAAACUAUUUUCUUCUUAUUAUUAAGUAAUUGUUCCAGAAACUGAUACUAUUGAUUGCCAACAGAUAAUAAAUACAUAAAUAGACUGUCAGGAAAUAUAUUGGUGUGUGAGAUGAAGAUGGAAAGUUUCGUAAAAGAAUAAUCUCUCUAAUGUUUUGGAUCUCUAAUAAUGAGCAUAAGAACAUGAUUGCCUAGGCCAGUAUGACUACCACCAUAGAAUUUAAUAGCAAACUAGUGUAUCCAAGCUUCCAAGACUAACUGCAAACACAAUUAUGUGCAUCCAAGCUUAUAACAAUUUACAGCUCAUCCAAAUUGCCAAGCAUCAAAUGCGACCAUCAAUUUUUCAUGACAGUCAUAUAUGAGAUAAUCAAGAGAAUAAUAAAUUUGACUCACCAAAGAAAUUAUAUUUUUGACCAUUUUGAGGUCAAAUACACAAACAGGGUUCAGUAAUGGUGAGAAAAAACCACAAAAUGUAGUGAUAAUUGCAUUGAGCAGGAUAACAGGUUGCCUGUGUGCACAUUCCCCAUCGCCUAAACUUUGUUGACAAUGACAUCACGAUACAAUACAAUGUGAUAUUAAACCAAAUAAAUACUGGUGGCAAACCAUUCAGCAAGUUGACAAAGAUGUCAGUUAAAUCUAUCAUCAAGGUAAAUUUUUACGUACUGCCAAAACACCUACCACCGCAGAUGUAAGAAGCAAAAAGAUGCCGUCUCUGGAUAGAGCAUAUUCUUUCCAUGUUAGAGGUCGACUGAUUUGGUUCAAAACCUUCUGGAAUUGUAGUCUUGUUUCUUCAAUUGUGCCAGAAUUAUCAAUGACUAUAUUUGCCUUGGUCUUCUUCUGGUCCAGUGCCAUCUGUGCGUUAAUUUUAUUUUUGGCUUGUUCUUCAGGUAUGCCAUCUCUUGCCAUUAAGCGUUUUAUCUGGGUUUCAGGAUCAACCCAUACAACAAUAACAGGAGAUGUUUGUUGAUCCAUUUUGGUCUCAAACAACAAUGGGAUGUCUAGAAUGAUAACCUUUGACCCUUUUAUCCACAGCUUGAAUACCUCCCAAAAGAUGCCCGAGGAAAUAUAUGGAGCCAAUAAACUGCAGGUAGGUAAAAAGAAAAAAAAAAGUUAGAUAAAUUCAUGUGCAGUUUUGUAUUUCCACAUCCUCUGAUUAAAAGGAAAGACCAACAGGAAAAUUGAUUAUUUUAGCAUAUGAUCAAGCUGCAAUCCAGCAACAGGAACUGCUAUUAAUGUUAUUCAUGAAGUUGGGCAAGGGGUAGUUAUAAAAGAACCAGGUGUUGAAUUUUACUUACUGUAUAACACAAACAACUAGUAAGAAUCAAUAGAAGUGUCAAAGCGUGAGCCAAUCCGUUCUAUAUACUAAUUAAAUCCUUCAAUCCUAGUUGAGUGGAAACAGUUUCCAGUUGUAAUGCUCUAUUUGAAGUCCAUACCGGUUCAGAAGUUGGCGUUUUGCUGGAUCUGUAAAGACAAUGUGACCUAGCCGUGCUCUAUCAAUUUCUCCAUUCUCUAGUAAAAUAUCGUUCCCAAAUGCUUUUACUACUUUCUUCCAACCACCCGUUCCCUUCUUCACCACAUCCUGCAUUGAAGCACCAUAAUUAUCUAGAUAUCAAACCAUAACAAUCUGAUAGUUGCUUCAGAAAAAUGCGAGAAUUAUAAAUUGUUGCAUUAGGACAAACACAAAAUAAUCGCAAAAUGGAGUUCCCAAAUGUAUCUAUAAGUAUGAUGCAACAAAUUGGAAAAGUAACGCACAAAAGUAGUUCGGUAGUACUUGAUCACAAAUGAUGAGAAGCAACAUAAGUAUAAAUUCUUCCAUGUAAGAACAACCUACCUACGCAAGUUCCAAACCCCCGAAUCCAAAGAUCAAUGUAAAUAGUUAUUUUGUACAUUGCUGCAGUAUAAGAAAAAUGAUCACAAACGUAGUUGAGGUUUAACUCGUCAAAGAUUUACAAUGUAAUCAUUGAACAAGAGAGGAAUGUGGUAGAUUCCGUGGGCAGGAUUGGGUGGUUGGAGCAGGCAAAUCAUUUUCUUUUGCAGUAUUAUCAUUUCAAUCACUAGUACAAAAACCACAAACAUGAAUACAUCAGCAAGAAUGUUAAGAUAAAGGAGGCCAAAACAGAAAAGGUACUCAAAGUUUUAACUUUGUGCAAAGUGUAGAAUUUUCACCGCGAGUUAAAGUAUAAUAGAGUUACUUUCACAUGUACGUUCAGCUCCAUUUUUGUCCUUUCGACAGACUCUAUGAUCGAUAAGAAUUAGUGACACAACUCCAAAGCCACAUGGAGUCCCGUACGAGCUGGCACCGAUGAACAAAAAUCAAUUUGCAACACACAGAAUUAAGUCAAAAAUGUUAUUUCUCACAUAUAAAAUUGAGACCAACUAUAGUUUUGGACAUCAAUUUCAUCAUUCAUUUAAGACCACAGCAAAAAGGGCUGUACAACGCACAGAUGAAACCCUAACUAAUGAAGAGAAAUCAAAUCCAGAUGAAACCAAUAUCAAUUUCUACACAGCAAAAGUGCAAGCGAUCGUAAUUUUUACAAAGUUUAUUUCCACAAUGUUAGUAGCCAACAUCGACAAAUUAGAAGCAAAACGAGAAAAUUCAGGAUCUUUGCAAAGGAAAGGAGUGGUGGAUGUGACAAAUGCUAAAUGAAUUUACCCGGGCAACGACGUCGGCGUCGACGACGGGAACGCCUUCAGAUAUGAACAGAUUGGAGACCGUGCUCUUCCCGGACGCGAUCCCGCCCGUCAGUCCCACCAACCUCAUCUCCUCUCCGCAAUCUAAUCCGACAGAGGGUAAAACAAGGGAAAUAGGAGAAGAGGACGACGAAGAGGAAGAGAGAGGAUUCGCCCCCUUCUGCCUCCUCCGCGCGAGUGGCACGAGUCGCGGAGAAUCCUCUUUCGGAGACCCGCUAUGGAUGCCACAAACAUCGCUUCCUGGUGAUUAGCAACUAACAUCGGGGUCCACCAGAGACCCGCAAUCGAUGCCAUUAGGGUAGAGGGAGGGUGAAAAGUGGUCGGGUGGGGAGUCAUGCCUCCACCUAGCGCUGGUAGGUGAGGUGGUGAGCCUUUUAACGGGUUGCUCUUUCGAGGCCAUAAGUGGGACCCUUUAGUGGAGCCAUCUCUUCCCCCAAGGCCAACGUUGGUAGAGAAGAGGGUGAUCGAGUAAUGGGUGAAUGAAUGCAUGGCUUAUCAAAAUUUUUAUCAACUAAAUUAAUUAUUAUUUUUUAAAAAUAUAUUAAAUACAAUAUUAAACCCUCCUUUAAAAAAAAAAAAAGAAUCUAAUACAUUAUAAUUAGAUCAAUAUUUAAUAUAUAAAAAUAUAUUAGAUAAGAUUUCAAACUUUUGUAAGUGAGUCUAGGACACUAAUAAAAUUUUAAAUCAAAAAAAUUAGAUAUAUCAUCAUUAAAUUAAUAUUUUAAAUAUAAAUAAUAUGUUAAUCGAAGUUUGAAACCCUCAACUUUAAAAUAUAUGGAUAAAAUUUCAAACUCCCAAUUUUGAUAAAAAAAAUUAAAUACAUAAUAUUAAUAUUUAAUUUUUUUAAAACUAAAUAUUAACUUUGAUAAGCUAAAACUCAAUUUUUAAAAAUUUAUUAAUAUUUAUAUACUCUCUGUUUCUAAGAUAAGCUAUGUGAUAUUAACCUCAACCUUUCUAAGAGGAUCUUGUUGUACCAUUACCUCUUUUACAUUAGCCCAUCAUUACAUCUAUUGGUAGCAUGACCUAUACGAUGUAGUUGUUACUUAGUAGAUACUUCUAACUAUGAUGUUUUUUAACACACCGGUUUUUAGCUGUAGGAUGCCCCAAACAAUCACCUUACAGCAGCUGUCGAUGGAGACAAAGCUGUCGGAGUUGCGUGUUUUUUUGGCUUUACAGAUUAAUGAGGAAGAAGAGCAGCUUUACUCGUUGCUUCUUCCUGCUGGGGUUAACGGACGCCAUGUCUGCGCAACAGCAGCAGCAAACAGAGCUGUUUGUGCACUCCAUCGGCAAACAUGGUUUUCCUGCACUCCAACUUGAAGGGAAAGAAAGCAAAGGGUCUUAUUCCAUGAGCAACGCUCCAAAGCGGAACACACACACCAAAGCGUUUCAGAGCCUCAAACUGACAGCAGCACUCAGACAACAACCCUCAGAAGAGCUUUGGGAACAGGAGUUCACUACGAGGUGGGCGUGCCGGUCGUCACCUUCUUGUACGCGGGCCGCGACGCCAAGCUCUCCCACCAGGCCUUCACAUGGGGGCGAGACUCGAACAGGGAAGCCUGGGGACCGGCUACGAUGUGGUGGGUGUAAGGAAUGUGGCUGAGGUCGGCGAAGCUGAGGAAGUCGCCGGCCAAGUACUUGGACUUGGACAGCCGGGCCUCGUACACGUCGAGCACCUUGCCCAGCUUCGCCGCGCUCUCCGCCACCACCUUCUCGUCCGGGACGCCGCCGAAGAAGACAGGUUUGAUCACGGUCUCUAUGUAGAUGGCGGAAAUCGCCUUGUCGUACUGCUGAGCCUCCACCUCCAGCCACACGUCCACCAUAGCCGACUCCUCCAGGCUGCCCUCCCUCAGCAGGUCAGGGCCCGAUGACUUGUACUUGCGCAGCACGUAUCUUGAGAUCGCUCUUGACUCUGAUCCCCCAAGUGUCAGCAAACGAAGGACGGGUAAAGAGAUACACACAGAAAGAGGGAUG
rnacentral:lncRNA from 1 species